UGUUUUUCCCAGAUAGAUGAAAGAAUAAUAAAUAUACUAAUCUAGCUCUUCUUUGUCUCCGUCUCUUUUUAGACUGUAUGAAGUUGGCAGUAUUACAGAGAAAGACUGUGCUGGUCUGAUUUCUGCUCUGAUUAUAAAUCCCUCACACCUGAGAGAGCUGGAUCUGAAUGAGAAUAAACUACUUCAGUCAGCACUGAAAAAGCUCUGUGAUCUACUGAAGAAUCCUCGCUGUAAACUGGAGAAACUGAGACUUAAGAAUUGCAGUAUAAAAGAGAAAGGCUGUGCUGAUCUGACCUCGGCUCUUUGUUCGAAUCCAGUUCACAUCAAAGUUCUGGAUCUGAGUAAAAAUAAACUAGGAGAUUCAGGAAUGAAGCAGCUCAGUGAACUGCUGAAGAAUCAGGAGUGUAAACUACAGGAACUACUGCUUCAGGAGUGCAGUAUAGAAGAGGAAGGCUGCACUGCUCUGACUUCAGCUCUAACCUCAAACCCCUCUCACCUGAGAGAAUUGGAUCUGCAGGAGAAUAAACUGGGAAAGUCAGUAAAACAGCUCUCAGAGCUAAUGAAGAAAUCAGGAUGUCAUUUAC